GAUGAACGCUGGCGGCGUGCCUAAUACAUGCAAGUCGAGCGAACAGAUAAGGAGCUUGCUCCUUUGACGUUAGCGGCGGACGGGUGAGUAACACGUGGGUAACCUACCUAUAAGACUGGAAUAACUCCGGGAAACCGGGGCUAAUGCCGGAUAACAUGUUGAACCGCAUGGUUCUACAGUGAAAGGCGGCUUUGCUGUCACUUAUAGAUGGACCCGCGCCGUAUUAGCUAGUUGGUGAGGUAACGGCUCACCAAGGCAACGAUACGUAGCCGACCUGAGAGGGUGAUCGGCCACACUGGAACUGAGACACGGUCCAGACUCCUACGGGAGGCAGCAGUAGGGAAUCUUCCGCAAAGGGCGAAAGCCUGACGGAGCAACGCCGCGUGAGUGAUGAAGGUCUUCGGAUCGUAAAACUCUGUUAUUAGGGAAGAACAAAUGCGUAAGUAACUGUGCGCGUCUUGACGGUACCUAAUCAGAAAGCCACGGCUAACUACGUG
rnacentral:rRNA from 1 species